GACGAACGCUGGCGGCGUGCUUAACACAUGCAAGUCGAACGGAAAGGCCCUGCUCUUGUGGGGUGCUCGAGUGGCGAACGGGGGAGUAACACGUGAGUAACCUGCCCCUGACUUUGGGAUAACUUCUGGAAACUGGGGCUAAUACCGGAUAGGAGCUCCUGCUCCGUAGUGGGGAUUGGAAAGAUUCGGCGGUUGUGGAUGGACUCGCGGCUUAUCAGCUUGUUGGUGGGGUAGUGGUAUACCAAGGCUUUGACGGGUAGCCGGCCUGAGAGGGUGACCGGCGACAAUGGGACUGAGGUACGGCGCAGUCUCCUACGUGAGGCAGUAGUGGGGAAUAUGGCGCAGCGGGCGGACGCGUGUGACAGCAACGCCGCGUGCGUGAUGACGGCUUUCGGGUUGUAAACCGCUGUGGCAGUAGACGAAGCGUGAGUGACGGUAAUUGGUAAAGAAGCAACGGCUAACUACGUG
rnacentral:rRNA from 1 species